rnacentral:rRNA from 1 species
GAUGAACGCUGGCGGCGUGCCUAACACAUGCAAGUCGAACGGAGAAUGAGAGAAAGCUUGCUUUUUCUCAUUCUUAGUGGCGGACGGGUGAGUAACGCGUGAGCAACCUGCCUUUCAGUGGGGGAUAACGUCUGGAAACGGACGCUAAUACCGCAUGACACAUGACUGUGGCAUCACAGACAUGUCAAAGGAGCAAUUCGCUGAAAGAUGGGCUCGCGUAUGAUUAGAUAGUUGGUGAGGUAACGGCCCACCAAGUCGACGAUCAUUAGCCGGACUGAGAGGUUGAACGGCCACAUUGGGACUGAGACACGGCCCAG